UACGUAGGGACCAAGCGUUGUUCGGAUUUACUGGGCGUAAAGGGCGCGUAGGCGGCUUAACAAGUCACUUGUGAAAUCUCCGGGCUUAACUCGGAACGGCCAAGUGAAACUGUCAAGCUAGAGUGCAGAAGGGGCAAUCGGAAUUCUUGGUGUAGCGGUGAAAUGCGUAGAUAUCAAGAGGAACACCAAUGGCGAAGGCAGCUCGCUGGGACGGUACUGACGCUGAGACGCGAAAGCGUGGGGAGCAAACAGG
rnacentral:rRNA from 1 species